GGCGGGUAAGCACCGCUGGUGGCUCUGCUGGGGCCGCCUUGGCGAUGCCUAUGCCAAGACCUUCUACCUCGUGUGAAAGAAAGAGAACUCGAGCCAAGGUGAUGGUGAUGGAAAUGAAUGAAAGAAAGAGAAGCUGGAGUGCCUACCACAAAGAUGAGCAGAAGCAGGGGAGUUCGCUGGGACGGAGGCGCUGGUGGCCG